ACACGGGCAUGCCUUAGUACGGCGAGUGAGCGGCAAAAGCUCAAAUUUGAAAUCUGGUACCUUCGGUGCCCGAGUUGUAAUUUGGAGAGGGCAACUUUGGGGCCGUUCCUUGUCUAUGUUCCUUGGAACAGGACGUCAUAGAGGGUGAGAAUCCCGUGUGGCGAGGAGUGCGGUUCUUUGUAAAGUGCCUUCGAAGAGUCGAGUUGUUUGGGAAUGCAGCUCUAAGUGGGUGGUAAAUUCCAUCUAAAGCUAAAUAUUGGCGAGAGACCGAUAGCGAACAAGUACAGUGAUGGAAAGAUGAAAAGAACUUUGAAAAGAGAGUGAAAAAGUACGUGAAAUUGUUGAAAGGGAAGGGCAUUUGAUCAGACAUGGUGUUUUGUGCCCUCUGCUCCUUGUGGGUAGGGGAAUCUCGCAUUUCACUGGGCCAGCAUCAGUUUUGGUGGCAGGAUAAAUCCAUAGGAAUGUAGCUUGCCUCGGUAAGUAUUAUAGCCUGUGGGAAUACUGCCAGCUGGGACUGAGGACUGCGACGUAAGUCAAGGAUGCUGGCAUAAUGGUUAUAUGCCGCCCGUCUUG
rnacentral:rRNA from 1 species